rnacentral:tRNA from 1 species
GCCUGGGUGGCUUGGUCGGUUAAGCGUCCGACUUUCGGCUCGGGUCAUGAUCUCACGGUCCGUGAGUUCGAGCCCCGCCUCGGGCU